UACAGAGGGGGCAAGCGUUGUUCGGAAUUACUGGGCGUAAAGGGCGCGUAGGCGGCCUGUUAAGUCGAACGUGAAAUCCCCGGGCUCAACCCGGGAACUGCGUCCGAUACUGCCAGGCUUGAAUCCGGGAGAGGGAUGUGGAAUUCCAGGUGUAGCGGUGAAAUGCGUAGAUAUCUGGAGGAACACCGGUGGCGAAGGCGGCAUCCUGGACCGGUAUUGACGCUGAGGCGCGAAAGCCAGGGGAGCAAACGGG
rnacentral:rRNA from 1 species